CCUCCUUAUGGGCUCCAGGGCAGCCUGCCUCAGGGCAGAGAGGAGAGGCCGGAGCCUGUGAGUUUCCACAGCGACGCGUUCCCCGCGAUGGGGGCGGGGUCGCCAAACAUAUUUUUUAAAAACAAAAGUGGAGGCCCUUUGGUAAAUAGAUACCAGCUUAUAGGCACCUUACAGUGAAAGCAAAUCUGUGGUAUCUCUGUUUCCCUUGAGAAACAAGAAAAUUCCUUGCCAAAAAUCUUAUCCUUUACCUCCUGGGCACCAGCAUCCUUCAAUCCAUCUAUCUGCUUGGGCUCUGUGACUAAGCCUUUGCUGGUGGAAUAUCUGUGAAUGCCACGGCCCCGUCUUCCUACAUGCGGGUCUGUCUCUCUUCUGCUCUGCUACCUUGAGAUAGGCAGGUCGAUCUUGACAGCCAUACAAGAAACAUGGCACAGCCAUGGGAUAGAAGGCUGGGUCCCCGAGUCAUUCUUUGGCGUGAGCGGCACACCAUCCCAUUUUGACAUUAUGGUAAGCUGCUGAGACAUGUGGAUACACUAGUUAGAAUAGCAAGUUUUACUCUAUCACUCCCAGACUUUUAAAUUGAAGAUUUCUACUUCACUUUAGCAAUCAAGUAGCAGGAAAUAAGCUGGAGCUUUGUCACGCAAAAAUUCCAAGUCAGAACUCUAGCUCCCACGCACCUAACACUCGCUGACUCUAUUCUCCCUCUUUCCAUAAGGAUGUAAACUAACCUUAUUGUGGUGAUCAUUUUGCAAGAGACUUGAUGCAGAAUCGUUGUUACACACCUGAAACUAAUAUAAUGUUGUGAUGUCAAUUAUAUUUCAAUUUUUUUAAAAACUGUUCCUGUUUCUUAUAUACUAUGCCCCUUUUUAUUUAGAAUUUAUUUUUUCAUCUAAGCAAAAACUCACAGUUUUGGUAUCAAAUUAUAUCAAUUAGCCUUUGAAAAUACCCUACCGGAUCUCAUAGGGGAAGCAAGUGGGGAGCGUUAUUGGUUGACUACUCAGCCCAGUCACACCAGGUGGGUGAUUGGCUAGGUAACCUGUCUAGGUUAAAGUCAAGAGCAAGGAAGAGGACGUCUGAGAGCUUAUGGCUUCAAAAUGCACUCAGGUGUCAAACUUUAGUCCCCGUGUUUCUCACAGUUCAGCAUUUUAAAAGUCAGUCAAAAAAUUUCCAGGGUUCCAAGACCUUGGGGAGAAGGCUAAAAAGAGUGGUCUGAUUCCCUGUCACUACCAGCAGGUUGAAUUGUCAAGGGUAUAUUUUCCUCAGCAGGGAUGGCGAUGCUUAAAGACACACUCCUGUGUGGGUGAUCUCCUGCCUGUGCUGACAUGGCUAAUGAUCUUAGCACGAUUCUGAGUCCUCGGCACAGCACCCCAGCAGCCGCUCACCAUCCAUCAUUUGGUAGAACAUGAGAAAUUGCUGCCCCUGCUCCAAAGGCUGGGAAUUUUCUCUAAAAAUCUUGCAGUUGCAGUUCAAGGCUGCUUACCCUCAGACACUGUGGGAGCCUUCUGGAGCUGGCAAAUGAUUUAAGUGCCUUGAAACAGGAGUAAAGAAUCAGAAAGAGGAGCUCUUGAAGAGAUGAAAAGGAAAGCUUUAAAAUCACAAAGGGUGCCAUUAACUUUAUCUGAUAUAAACAGAAGUGAGUAACUUUUUGCCUAUAAUGAACGUAUUAAUGAGAUUAAUCAAAAUGUUUCAGAAAUAAAGUAUUAUUCUGUAGGGUUUUUUUUUCUUCU
rnacentral:lncRNA from 1 species